CGCUGGCGGCAUGCUUCAUACAUGCAAGUCGAACGAUAAGGUCUCUUCGGAGAUACAUAAGUGGCGGACGGGUGAGUAAUAUGUAGGAAAUCUGCCCUAGAGAGGGGGACAACAGAGGGAAACUUCUGCUAAUACCCCAUAUGAGCGUACCUGAAAUGGUAUUCUUGAAAACUCCGGUGCUCUAGGAUGAGCCUGCAUCUGAUUAGCUUGUUGGCGGUGUAAUGGACCACCAAGGCGACGAUCAGUAGCUGGUUUGAGAGGAUGAUCAGCCACAAUGGGACUGAGACACGGCCCAUACUCCUACGGGAGGCAGCAGUGGGGGAUAUUGCACAAUGGAGGAAACUCUGAUGCAGCGACGCCGCGUGAGUGAAAGAAGUAUUUCGGUAUGUAAAGCUCUAUCAGCAGGGAAGAAAGACUCGCAAGAGAGAUGACGGUACCUGACUAAGAAGCCCCGGCUAACUACGUGCCAGCAGCUGC
rnacentral:rRNA from 1 species